GACCUGUGAGUGGCAGCAUCUUUUUGCAAAUACUUCGUAGCAGACUGUCUUUCUUCAUUUGAAUACAUGUAAAAACAGCUUGAAACGGGGAAACUUUGCUCUCCAGGGCUAGUCAGAUGUCCACAGGCUGCACCUCGGGCCGAUGGCGCUUUUGCACCACCGUAGCAAAGAGGUGGUGUGGUGGCAUCCAGCACUUGUGCAGUCUCAUGCGCUGGGAGGCUGUCUGGGCCAGUAGCACCGGUCUCGGCACAGCCACCCUGUAUCGGGGCACAUCUUCUGAGGGGGCAAAUGGGAAGAUGGGGUUCUUGGGGCUUUCACUGGCACAGUGGAGCUCAGGCCCUCCCUUAGGUCUCCUCCUGCUAGCCAGUGACUGGUUUUCCUGCAGAUCUGUGGAAGGCUGAUGGCUUUUGCAUCCGUCUUCCUCUGAUAGUGGUUGAACCUCAAAAUGAGAUUUAAUGGGGAUGAUGACAGGGAAACUAGGCUUAAAAAAAAAAAAAAAGACCUUGUAGAAUUUUACCUGUGUGUAGAAAGAAAUCGUUGCUGUGACAGCAUUCCCAUGUCAGCACAGCAAUUGUGUGCACCCUAGCCUCAAGCUUUACUUGAUUUGUUUCUAUUUUUGCUCUGAAGAGGUUAGGAAUGUUUAAAAAGCUUACAAAACAUCAGAUGGUUUAUUAAACACUUAGCAACGAUAUUGACUAGAAGUAUUCCUGAGAAUGAAUCUAAGAAAUACUAUUACUAGUUGUGUCUGUCAUGAAGGAAAGCACAUCCUGCUGGUAAAGGAGCAGGAUGUUAGUUAACUGCUGCUUUUUUAUUUGCUUUCUUGACACACCAUAGACGUAUUGGCUUUCUGGUUCAUGUUUUCUCCCCCAUUUCCUCAGACAAUGAACUCGAUACCCAUGAUCAAUGUGAACUACAUGCUUGUAACAUAAUACAUCCAUCUGUCAACAUCUCUUCUCAUAACACCCCUUGAAGCGUGCGGUUUAUCGUCAUGUUAUGCACGGCUGCCACUCACAAUGUGCUGUCUGCCUUACUUGCAAACUUUGUUUGUUAGGUGCGUUUGGAGGAUUUGGGACAACUACCACCACUGCGGGACCAGCAUUUAGUUUCUCUGCUCCCAGCAAUACAGGCACCAGCGGACUCUUUGGUGGUACCCAGAACAAAGGCUUUGGAUUUGGUACUAGUUUUGGCACAGGAACUGGAACUGGCUUGGGUAGUGGGUUGGGAACUGGGCUAGGCUUCGGAGGCUUCGGUACGCAGCAGCAACAGACCACAUUAGGAAGCGGCUUGUUCAGCCAGCCUGCUCAGACACCUGCCCAGUCGAACCAGCUCAUCAAUACUACCAGUGCCCUCUCGGCUCCGACACUCUUAGGAGAUGAGAGAGAUGCUAUUUUGGCAAAAUGGAACCAGCUUCAGGCCUUCUGGGGAACAGGCAAAGGUUACUUCAACAAUAACAUCGCUCCAGUGGAGUUCACGCAGGAAAACCCCUUUUGCAGGUUUAAGGCUGUGGGUUACAGUUUAAUGCCCAACAACAAAGAUGAAGAUGGCCUCGUGGUCUUGGUCUUUAACAGAAAAGAAACAGAUAUUCGAAGCCAGCAGCAGCAGCUCGUAGAAUCACUACACAAAAUUCUGGGAGGAAACCAGACGCUCACUGUCAAUGUAGAAGGUGUUAAGACAUUGCCAGAUGACCAGACAGAAGUGAUCAUUUACGUUGUUGAGCGCUCGCCCAACGGCACUUCGAGGAGAGUUCCUGCAACGACCCUCUACGCCCACUUUGAACAAGCCAACAUAAAAUCGUCCCUGCAGCAGCUGGGGGUCAGUCUCUCCAUGGCCAGAACAGAGCUUUCCCCGGCACAAGUCAAACAGCUCUUGCAGAACCCUCCUGCCGGUGUUGAUCCAAUUAUAUGGGAACAAGCCAAAGUUGAUAAUCCUGAUCCUGACAAGCUUAUUCCUGUGCCAAUGGUGGGUUUCAAGGAACUGUUGAGAAGAUUGAAGGUCCAAGAUCAGAUGACCAAACAGCAUCAAACUCGAUUAGAUAUAAUAUCAGAAGAUAUCAGCGAGCUGCAGAAAAACCAAACGACAACUAUGGCGAAAAUUGCACAGUACAAAAGGAAACUGAUGGCGCUUUCUCACAGAACGUUACAGCCUUCUUUUGUAGGUGUUAAUAAAGCAGGAGAUCCAAAGGAAAAGCGGUUAUGCCAUUCAAGCAGACGAAGAGCAGCUUCGUGUACAGUUAGAUACGAUUCAGUGUGAACUUAAUGCACCUACGCAGUUCAAGGGCAGACUGAAUGAGCUCAUGUCCCAAAUCAGGAUGCAAAACCACUUUGGAGCAGUGCGGGCUGAAGAGCGAUAUUACAUAGAUGCAGACCUCUUAAGGGAAAUCAAGCAACAUUUGAAGCAGCAGCAAGAAGGCCUGAGCCACCUAAUUAGCAUUAUAAAGGAUGACUUGGAAGAUAUCAAACUUAUAGAACAUGGGCUGAACGAGAGCAUUCCCAUCAGAGGAGGAGUCUUCAGUUGACGUGGUGGAUGCUGCUGGGCUUACACAGAACACAUUACUCGAGUUCAUGGUUCACCUUCCAAGGCUAAAACUGUUGAGGUAAAAUAAAACACGUAUCUUCUAGGAACAAUGGUAUUUUGGCUGUUAUCUUUAGAAUUAGCAAAGCCUCUUCUAAGCUUUUGAACUUGACCUUUGGAAGGUUUAUAUUUUAUAAAGCUGUAUAUGCUUUAAUAAAAGAAGGAAAACUGAAUCUGUUCAGAUACCGUUUUACUAUAAAACUAUAUGUACUAUUGUACAUUUUUUCUUUUUUUUUUUCCCCCCCUUUUUUUACAACAACAUUGUCCUAGAAAUGCAGUGCCGAGGGAAUUGUUCCACUUGUGACUUGGUUUGUGGCAAGCUUAGCCCGCUUCGAUGUUUUUGUCAAAACAAUCAAGUAACAUCAUUAUGUAAACAGCUAAUUUAAAUCAUUACAGAUAUGUAUGUUGCUGUAACGAUGUCGGUCUCUGCAAUACCAGUAGUUUGCUGGGGCAAGCUGCAGGAAGUUGAUGUUUCCAGUUUCUGUCAUUCCUUUGGACUGCAAGGAUCUGAAGGUUAUAUUUUUAUCACUUUACAUAUGUGGAUUAUACAAAGCUUCGCUGCCCCUUAAGUAACAACAGAAUGUCUAGACGUUGUCUUCUGCCUUUUUUUUUAAUUGCUGGAGAGUAAUAAAUUCAGUCUGACUUUGUAA